UACGAAGGGUGCAAGCGUUACUCGGAUUUAUUGGGCGUAAAGCGCGCGUAGGCGGAUUUUUAAGUCAGAUGUGAAAUCUCGGGGCUCAACCCCGAAACUGCGUCUGAAACUGAUAAUCUAGAAUGACGGAGAGGGAAGGGGAAUUUCUCAUGUAGGGGUAAAAUCCGUAGAGAUGAGAAGGAACACCAGAGGCGAAGGCGCCUUCCUGGCCGUAUAUUGACGCUGUGGCGCGAAAGCGUGGGGAUCAAACAGG
rnacentral:rRNA from 1 species